rnacentral:rRNA from 1 species
GACGAACGCUGGCGGCGUGCUUAACACAUGCAAGUCGAACGGAAAGGCCCUGCUUUUGUGGGGUGCUCGAUUGGCGAACGGGUGAGUAACACGUGAGUAACCUGCCCUUGACUUUGGGAUAACUUCAGGAAACUGGGGCUAAUACCGGAUAGGAGCUCCUGCUGCAUGGUGGGGGUUGGAAAGUUUCGGCGGUUGGGGAUGGACUCGCGGCUUAUCAGCUUGUUGGUGGGGUAGUGGCUUACCAAGGCUUUGACGGGUAGCCGGCCUGAGAGGGUGACCGGCCACAAUGGGACUGAGAUACGGCCCAGACUCCUACGGGAGGCAGCAGUGGGGAAUAUUGCACAAUGGGCGGAAGCCUGAUGCAGCAACGCCGCGUGCGGGAUGACGGCCUUCGGGUUGUAAACCGCUUUCGCCUGUGACGAAGCGUGAGUGACGGUAAUGGGUAAAGAAGCACCGGCUAACUACGUG